GGCCUAAUAAAAGGAACUUGCAAACCAGAUAGCAAAACUAUUAGAGUUAAAAGCCAACCCAACCCGCCGCACUAACAACCAGCUCUGCUGCUGUGCGCUUGCGCAAGAAAAAGCGCCGCUCGACGAUGCUUCCUCUUCUGAGCAACGCCUGCCAUUGGUUACCGAGAAUUGCCGAGCGGCUUCGUACACCUCCGGAAAAAAAGCCGAAGGCGGGGGCGAAGGGGAGGGGGAGCAAACGGCUGGAGUGUGGCGCGGUGCAUUGUGGGGCGGAAGCAGAGAGUCACCGCUCUGUUAGGGCCGCCAUCUUGUCUGCGCCCGGACCCGCUGCCGCUCUCGGGCCCUGCUUGUUCUCCUCGUCGCGUGAAGCGGUGGAGAGAGUGAGGACGCGGAGUACGACCGGGUGGUGCUGAUGCGUGCGGGCUCUCCUCGCUCCUCACUCGGGCGCCACUAGUAAAAGGGGGCGGGGGUAAUCGGGCGGUCUCCGGUGCGGCCUUUCCUCUCCUCGGCCGGCAUGGGUCGGUCCCGCAGCCGGAGCUCAUCCCGCUCCAAGCAUACCAAGAGCUCAAAGCACAACAAGAAGAAUCGGAGCCGCUCGCGGAGCCGCUCUCGGGAGAAAGAGCGGGCGCGGAAACGCUCUAAGUCCCGGGAGAGCAAACGCAACCGGCGCCGCGAGUCCCGGUCCCGCUCCCGCUCCAACACGGCCCCCUCCUCCCGCCGCGAUCGGGAGCGCGAACGCGAACGCGCCUCGUCCCCACCGGACCGUAUCGACAUCUUCGGGCGCACGGUGAGCAAACGCAGCAGCCUGGACGAGAAGCAGAAGCGGGAGGAGGAGGAGAAAAAAGCAGAGUUCGAGCGGCAGCGGAAAAUUCGUCAACAAGAAAUCGAAGAGAAACUCAUAGAGGAAGAAACUGCUCGAAGAGUGGAAGAGCUUGUGGCUAAAAGAGUGGAAGAAGAGUUGGAGAAACGGAAGGAUGAGAUUGAGCGAGAGGUUCUCCGCAGGGUGGAGGAGGCUAAGCGCAUCAUGGAAAAACAGUUGCUCGAAGAACUCGAGCGACAGCGACAAGCUGAACUUGCAGCACAAAAAGCCAGAGAGGUAACGCUCGGUCGUUUGGAAAGUAGAGACAGUCCAUGGCAAAACUUUCAGUGUCGGUUUGUGCCUCCUGUUCGGUUCAGAAAGAGAUGGAAUACAACAAAUCUAAUUCCCUUCUCGUAUAAACUUUCAUUGCUGCGAAACUUAAUUUUUAGCCUAUUCAGAGGAGCUCACUGAUACUUAAACAGUUAUUCUCCUAAAACCUGAACAAGGAUACUUGAUUUUUAAUGGAACUGACCUACAUAUUUCAGUAUUGUUUGAAACUUUUGCCAUGGCUGCAGGAUUUAUCAACGGUCCUUUCUUUUCUGGGGAAGGGUAUUAAAAAAUCUGUAAUUAUGUAUCCUUCAUUUGUUUCAUUUUGUUUACCUAGACUGUAAGAGGCUUUUGCCUUCAGUCAGGCAAAGAGCAGGGUCCAGCACUGAGCUGCAAUGCCUGUCUUUAACAAAUAGGUUUCUUACUCUUCUUUUGAAACAUUUUCUUUGAGCGUACAUGGACUAAUUCUGGGACUUCGAGCAUAAGCCCAUCCACGUCUUCAUGAAGGAUCUAUGUCCAAAUCAUUAUAUCCACUUUUAAUAACUACUAACAAUUCCUUUUUUCCCUAGAAGUUAAUAAAAGAGCAGAUUGCCCUUGUCUGAAGUCAAGUCAAGCUGAACAUGCGACUUGGGGUUUUUUGGUUGUUUUUUUUUUGUUUUGUUUUUUUUUUUGUAUGGUUUUUGUUUUGGUUUUUUUCCAAAUCAGCAGCUGGAGCAGAAGCUGAAAAUGUCUUUCUGUGAGACAGUAAUUUGCUACUAAAGGCUUUGAUGCCUGCCUGCACCAAUCAUUCCAGGAUCCAGAAAUGUCAGGACAAAUUUUAAAUUUUGAAGAAAACUUGCACUAAGCAGUCAUGAGUGUCAAAUGCUUUUUUCACUUUGCAUACAUUUGUCUUAAAUUAAUAUUUUGAUUGGCUUACAAAAGGAAAUACAAUAGCGUUGAAGCUUUACCUUUGUACUGAAUAUGACUUGUCUGUCACAAGCACCUUUAAAACAAAAAAAGCCUGAGUUAUAACAAAUAUUAGGGAUAUUAAAUUAUACUUGUUCUGUAAAUUCAGACCUCACCUAUAAAGGAAUUGAAGUUGAAUUUAGGUGUGUAUACUCAGCAAAUGCUUGAUACAGGUUUUUAUUUAAUCAUAUUCAUGACUUUUUUUUUUUUUUUUAAAGUAUUUUUGUUACAUUUAAUAUGAUGCGGAGAAACCCCAUCAGUUCCUUUGCAGUACAGAAUAAACGUCUAUGCCUGGAGUGGAGUGUGCUAGCUAGUAGCUGGUUACUAGUCAUAGUAAGAAGUUUUCUCUUCGUAUGCUUGCUUUGUUCAUAUUAACUUUUUUUUUCUUACACAGACACAAACCUCUGGCUUACUUUAAAUCUUCCACAUAUUAAAAUAAUUUGGAUAUAUACUAUGUAAACUGAAACACCUCAAAAUCUUUCACGCAGUCUUCAUAUUUAUGGGUUGCAUAACAGAGUUCCAUAAAAUUCACCAAGAAAACAACAAUUACAAGGCUUUAUUUCCUGAUCUUGCCUUCCCUGGAUUCCAGAAUUCCAAGUUCAGACUGCUAAUGACAGUUUCAACUGUCUUAAAAUUGUCAAAAUACUGAAUGUAAAGUCCAUUCUCCCCAUGAAGGAAGCCCAUAGCUCCAUGAAGUAUGGAUUACCAUUUGUAUUUUCCACUAACAGUAAAUGUAUUUUUCUUAUUAAUUGUUUGCCUUAGGAAUGAUUUACAUAUUUUUGUUCCUUCCUAUCAUAAACAUCUGCAUUCCUCAGCUCAGCCUUCCUUGUAUGUUGUUUCUUUAUAAAUGGUUGAGCUGCUGAUGCAGGUAUUGCCAAGCUAACAGUACAAAUCAUUUUAAAGAGGAAGCUGGCGCGUAUGGCAGCCGAGGAGCACACUCUGCAGGACACUGGACAAGACAGAAGAAGAGCGUGCAAAGCGUGAGGAACUAGAACGAAUACUAGAAGAGAAUAAUCGAAAAAUUGCAGAAGCACAAGCUAAACUGGCUGAAGAACAAUUGAAAAUUGUUGAAGAACAAAGAAAGAUUCAUGAGGAGAGGAUGAAACUAGAACAAGAGAGGCAACGUCAGCAAAAGGAAGAGCAAAAAAUUAUCUUGGGCAAAGGAAAGUCUAGGCCAAAACUGUCCUUCUCACUAAAGAGCCAAGAUUAAAAUACAACUCUGAACUCUCUUACAAGAAGAAAAAAAAACAUUUAAAAAAAAAAACAAAACAACACCACCAACAAAAAACUUUGUAUGGUAGCUUCAUGUUGAAGUGUUUGUUUGUUUUUUUUCUUUUCUCUCAAUUUUUUUUUUGUCUUUUUAUUUUAUUUUAUUUUUUUUGAAAAUCUGGAAAGUUAGCUUGUUCUAAUAGGGGCUGUGCUCUGCAAUUCUUAAUUUUUAUUUUUAUUUUUUAACUCCAUUAAGUUAAACCCUUAUCAGAUCAUUGUUGCCUUUUAGAGAAUAAUAUGUUCUCACGUAUUCGUUUCUGUAUUAGUGGUCUGAAGCACAUCAGGACACUAUGAGUUGUGGAUGAUCUGAUAAGGUUUUACGGACCUACUCAUCAGAGUUUGACUCUGAUAGCUGACAGAAGUUUAUACUGGGUAUUGCUGACUCUUAAUUAUUUUUUUUAAAAGUCAGUGAAUACAUGAGUAAAUUGCCAUGGUAUUACUGGACCUCUGUGGCUUAUUGUUAAAUCAGUGUCCUAUGAUACUGUCCCAUUGUUGCGCUUGAUGUUCCUGAUACAGGUAAGGAAAUAGUUUGUCAUUUCUGCUAUGAAUACAUAGGGAGAGUUCAGUAUUGUCUCUGUUAGAUUUGUUUUUAUUACAUUGACAGCAUUCAACCAGCGUUCCCCAUUGUGUAAAUAAACCAAUUUGCUGAAUAAAGUGAAAGUCUUAAA